rnacentral:tRNA from 1 species
CUUUAAACACAAAGGUU